rnacentral:sRNA from 1 species
CAAUAUAGAACGGCGACUAAAAGCGCCACGUCGUUAUGUCUUCGUCGCCAUGACCCACAUCGUGUGGG